AAAUUAAUCUCCCCGUGAAGAAGCGGGGAUACUCAUAUAAGACGAGAAGACCCCAUGGAGCUUCAAACCCAACUACACCCCUAGCUCUUAUAGCCCCACAACCCCCCUAGGCACCGUGUGCUUGGUUUUAGGUUGGGGCGACCGCGGAGUACAAUAAAACCUCCACAAUGAAUGGGAACACCCCCUUAUCUGAGGGCCACACCCCCUAAGAAUUAGAACACUAACAUAAAAUGAUCCAUUACUUGAUCAAUGAACCAAGUUACCCUGGGGAUAACAGCGCAAUCCAUUUCAAGAGCCCCUAUCGACAAAUGGGUUUACGACCUCGAUGUUGGAUCAGGG
rnacentral:rRNA from 1 species